UACAGAGGGGGCUAGCGUUGUUCGGAAUCACUGGGCUUAAAGCGUGUGUAGGCGGAUCGUUAAGUGCCUUGUGAAAUCCCACGGCUUAACUGUGGAACGGCUGGGCAUACUGGCGGUCUUGAGCCAUCUAGGGGCGACUGGAACAAACGGUGGAGCGGUGAAAUGCGUAGAUAUCGUUUGGAACGCCAAUGGUGAAAACAGGUCGCUGGGGAUGAGCUGACGCUGAGACACGAAAGCCAGGGGAGCAAACGGG
rnacentral:rRNA from 1 species